rnacentral:rRNA from 1 species
UACAGAGGUCUCAAGCGUUUGUUCGGAUUCAUUGGGCGUAAAGGGUGCGUAGGCGGCGCGGUAAGUCGGGUGUGAAAUCUUGGAGCUUAACUCCGAAACUGCAUUCGAUACUGCCGUGCUUGAGGACUGGAGAGGAGACGUGGAAUUUACGGUGUAGCGGUGAAAUGCGUAGAUAUCGUAAGGAAGACCAGUGGCGAAGGCGGGUC